rnacentral:rRNA from 2 species
UAACGACUCUCGGCAACGGAUAUCUCGGCUCUCGCAUCGAUGAAGAACGUAGCGAACUGCGAUACUUGGUGUGAAUUGCAGAAUCCCGUGAACCAUCGAGUCUUUGAACGCAAGUUGCGCCCGAAGCCAUUUUUGGUCGAGGGCACGUUUGCCUGGGUGUCA